AUACAAACUCUCGAUGACUGUUCGUCUCUUGAUUUUAGACUUCCAAAGAGAAGCCAUGUCAGGCUGCUGAUGUGGACAAAUGCAGUUCCUUUGCAGUCAUUCCAAAGGUAAUUUUUGAACUUCAAUGACUUUACUGUAGAUAUGAACUCAUGAGAAUGAUAUUAAGUAGUAGUAUUGAGACGCACGGUCCUGUGUAAUCCUCACCAUGUAAGGUUCAGACAUUAGCAGGUCUGUUAGUUUUGUGCAUUAGAUAUGAACUCAUGAGAAUGAUAUUAAGUAGUAGUAUUGAGACGCACGGUCCUGUGUAAUCCUCACCAUGUAAGGUUCAGACAUUAGCAGGUCUGUUAGUUUUGUGCAUUAGAUACAAACUCUCGAUGACUGUUCGUCUCUUGAUUUUAGACUUCCAAAGAGAUGCCAUGUCAGGCUGCUGAUGUGGACAAAUGCAGUUCCUUUGCAGUCAUUCCAAAGGUAAUUUUGAACUUCAAUGACUUUACUGUAGAUAUGAACUCAUGAGAAUGAUAUUAAGUAGUAGUAUUGAGACGCACGGUCCUGUGUAAUCCUCACCAUGUAAGGUUCAGACAUUAGCAGGUCUGUUAGUUUUGUGCAUUAGAUACAAACUCUCGAUGACUGUUCGUCUCUUGAUUUUAGACUUCCAAAGAGAAGCCAUGUCAGGCUGCUGAUGUGGACAAAUGCAGUUCCUUUGCAGUCAUUCCAAAGACUUCCAAAGAGAUGCCAUGUCAGGCUGCUGAUGUGGACAAAUGCAGUUCCUUUGCAGUCAUUCCAAAGGUAAUUUUGAACUUCAAUGACUUUACUGUAGAUAUGAACUCAUGAGAAUGAUAUUAAGUAGUAGUAUUGAGACGCACGGUCCUGUGUAACCCUCACCAUGUAAGGUUCAGACAUUAGCAGGUCUGUUAGUUUUGUGCAUUAGAUACAAACUCUCGAUGACUGUUCGUCUCUUGAUUUUAGACUUCCAAAGAGAUGCCGUGUCAGGCUGCUGAUGUGGACAAAUGCAGUUCCUUUGCAGUCAUUCCAAAGGUAAUUUUGAACUUCAAUGACUUUACUGUAGAUAUGAACUCAUGAGAAUGAUAUUUAGUAGUAUUGAGACGCACGGUCCUGUGUAACCCUCACCAUGUAAGGUUCAGACAUUAGCAGGUCUGUUAGUUUUGUGCAUUAGAUACAAACUCUCGAUGACUGUUCGUCUCUUGAUUUUUAGACUUCCAAAGAGAUGCCAUGUCAGGCUGCUGAUGUGGACAAAUGCAGUUCCUUUGCAGUCAUUCCAAAGGUAAUUUUGAACUUCAAUGACUUUACUGUAGAUAUGAACUCAUGAGAAUGAUAUUAAGUAGUAGUAUUGAGACGCACAGGUCUUGUGUAGUCCUCAAAUUUACAAGUCAAAGAGGA
ensembl:lncRNA